rnacentral:rRNA from 2 species
GUGCACGGUCAUAGCGGAGGUGUUUACCCGGUCCCAUCCCGAACCCGGAAGUCAAGCCCUCCUACGUCGGUUUCGGUACUGUGGUACGAGAGUCCACGGAAAGUUCCGUCACUGUGCCUC